rnacentral:rRNA from 1 species
GUGGAUUAGAUACCCUAGUAGUCCACGCCCUAAACGAUGUCGACUGGUUGUUGGGGGUUUGACACUCUCAGUAACGAAGCUAACGCGUGAAGUCGACCGCCUGGGGAGUACGGCCGCAAGGUUAAAACUCAAAGGAAUUGACGGGGACCCGCACAAGCGGUGGAUUAUGUGGAUUAAUUCGAUGCAACGCGAAAAACCUUACCUACCCUUGACAUGUCCGGAAGGCUUGAGAGAUCAGGCUGUGCCCGAAAGGGAACCGGAACACAGGUGCUGCACGGCCGUCGCCAACU